GAGUUAAAAACAUCAAAACUGGGAGUGAUUUUUCCAUGUUUGAAGCUUUGCGAGAUACUAUUUAUUCUGAAGUAGCUACAUUAAUUUCUCAAAAUGAAUCUCGUCCACAUUUUCUUAUUGAACUCUUCCAUGAGCUUCAGCUACUAAACACAGACUACUUGAGACAGAGGGCUUUAUAUGCAUUGCAGGACAUAGUAUCCAGACAUAUUUCUGAGAGCCAUGAAAAAGGAGAAAAUGUAAAGUCAGUAAACUCUGGUACUUGGAUAGCAUCAAACUCAGAACUUACUCCUAGUGAAAGCCUUGCUACUACUGAUGAUGUAAGCUGAUAAUGAUUAGUGAAUUGUAGAUAUAAUUUUAGUAUGCAGUAAAUAAAAGUUAAAUAGGUCAUUGUCAAAUUGUAGGUAGACCUAAUAUAUUUGAUUUUCAGCUUUUUUUAAAACUUGGGUAUAAUGUGUUAUUUUAUUUUGAGGGCGAGAUAUAAUAUGCAAUCAAA
rnacentral:sRNA from 1 species